CCUACGGGGGGCAGCAGUGGGGAAUAUUGCACAAUGGGGGAAACCCUGAUGCAGCAACGCCGCGUGAAGGAAGACGGUUUUCGGAUUGUAAACUUCUAUCGAUGGGGAAGAAAUAAAUGACGGUACCCAAAUAAGAAGCCCCGGCUAACUGCGUGCCAGCAGCCGCGGUAAUACGUAGGGGGCAAGCGUUAUCCGGAAUUACUGGGUGUAAAGGGAGCGUAGGCGGCAUGGUAAGUAAGAUGUGAAAGCCUUGGGCUUAACCUGAGGAUUGCAUUUUAAACUAUCAAGCUAGAGUACAGGAGAGGAAAGCGGAAUUCCUAGUGUAGCGGUGAAAUGCGUAGAUAUUAGGAAGAACACCGGUGGCGAAGGCGGCUUUCUGGACUGAAACUGACGCUGAGGCUCGAAAGCGUGGGGAGCGAACAGGAUUAGAUACCCCGGUAGUC
rnacentral:rRNA from 1 species